GGGGGCGUAUGGACUCGACGGGGGUAGCGAAGCUCAGGUGGCAUGCCGUGGUCCCGUCACCACGUAAAAAGGCGGGAACAAACACAAACGCCAACAGCGAACUCGCACUCGCUGCUUAAUAAAUAGCAGCGCGUCACUGAGGAGAUGCCUGCUAUCCUCAGCUGGCGUCAGAAAGCAGGCUGGUCUCAUUCACCCUGCCCUCGGGUGAUGAGACGAGAUUAAUGAGGGAUAGGACAGUGAAGCCAGUCUGCCGGCAAUUCACUGUCUGAAAUUUAAAAGGCAGACUAAGCAUGUAGAGGCCUGAGCGUAGUGCUUCCGGACGCGGGUUCGAUUCCCGCCGCCUCCACCA
rnacentral:tmRNA from 1 species